GACGAACGCUGGCGGCGUGCUUAACACAUGCAAGUCGAACGGAAAGGCCCUGCUUUUGUGGGGUGCUCGAGUGGCGAACGGGUGAGUAACACGUGAGUAACCUGCCCUUGACUUUGGGAUAACUUCAGGAAACGGGGGCUAAUACCGGAUAGGAGCUCCUGCUGCAUGGAGGGGGGUGGAAAGUUUCGGCGGUUGGGGAUGGACUCGCGGCUGAUCAGCUUGUUGGUGGGGUAGUGGCUUACCAAGGCUUUGACGGGUAGCCGGCCUGAGAGGGUGACCGGCCACAUUGGGACUGAGAUACGGCCCAGACUCCUACGGGAGGCAGCAGUGGGGAAUAUUGCACAAUGGGCGGACGCCUGAUGCAGCAACGCCGCGUGCGGGAUGACGGCCUUCGGGUUGUAAACCGCUUUCGCCUGUGACGAAGCGUGAGUGACGGUAAUGGGUAAAGAAGCACCGGCUAACUACGUG
rnacentral:rRNA from 1 species